rnacentral:lncRNA from 1 species
GAAAAUGCAAGAGAACUCAGGUAACUGAAUUAGUUCUCCCACCAGGGUCAUCAGGUUCUCUCUCCCUCUCCCACUGACUCAGGUAACUGAAUUAGUUCUACAGUCAGCAGGAGCAGACACACAGAGGAGACAUUGCUACUGGCAUCCUUACAAGAUCAGCCAAUUCACAUAAUUCCAGUCCAAGAACGGUCGCAGAGAGGAAGAGAGAUCCAUCGAAACCUCCUACUAGGUUAGAGAUAAGAGGGGGAGGAAGAGAAAGAGAGAAUACAUGGCUUUUUUACAGGGGAGAACGCCACCGAUCCAGUCCCUUUUUUGGUUAACCUCCGGCACAUAUUUAGACAAAAUGUGGGCUAGCUAUUGGCUCUUGCUACUACUCGUCUGACUGACUACCUGCUUGCUGCAUCCUCC